CUGCAUACCUCCCAAUAAUCCUGGAUACCGGUUCCUGUCCCACGAUCCCAGGUUUGUUCCCUUGUGUCUCUAAUCUGGUGACACCAAGGAAUGGCCAUUGAAAGCAAUAAAUGCUCUAGUGCUGUGCAGAGAAACCUCAGGUCACUGAGGCCAUGGCAAGAUCCUUCAGCAGGGCUUUGCACAUGGUCUGCCCUAUGUGGGGUUGGCUGGAGACAUACCUCCCAUCUGUCCUUAUUUUGUCAGGACAGUCCCUAUUUCAGGGUCCUGUUGUCUCCAAUUUGUUCCAUGGUGUCCAGUUUUUGGUGAACUGUCCCCACACUCGCGCAGUGCUCAGGACACUAUGACCAUGUAGACAGGGAAGAAACACUGCUUGAUUGGCAG